AUUCUUUACUGGCUCCCAUGUGCAUUCACUAAUACCAUAUCGAUACCAAUGGAUAGUAUAUUCUAAUUUAUUUAUGCACCGCUGUCAUAAUACAUGAAGUCUUAUUUGAAAAUGCUCCAUGCACCUAGCACUGUAGUAUUCGGAGCUUUCAUAAAAAUAAUAAGAAUUCUUAAAGAAAUAUUAGAAGGAUCACAAAUAUCACUCAAAUACAUCUCAAUUCAAUCUUAAUUUAAUUCUAGUUAAAAUCCUAUUGAACUUCAUUCAAACUUUAGGCCAAAACUAAUUAAAUCUUAAAUCCUAAUAAAAUCCUAAACCCUAAAUCAAACCCUAAUCCAAAUCCUAAAUCCUAAAUCAAAUCCUAAUCAAAUUCUAAAACCUAAAUAAAACUCUAACUAAAUCCUCAAUCCUAAAUCAAACCCUAAUCCAAACCCUAAAUCCUAAAUCAAACCCUAAUCAAAUCCUAAACCCUAAAUAAAAUCUUAACCAAAUCCUAAACCAAAUCCUAAAUCCUAAAUCAAAUACUAACCAAAUCCUAAAUCCUAAAUAAAUCCUAACCAAAUCCUAAACCCUAA
rnacentral:lncRNA from 1 species